rnacentral:rRNA from 1 species
GACGAACGCUGGCGGCGUGCUUAACACAUGCAAGUCGAGCGGUAAGGCCCUUUCGGGGGUACGACGAGCGGCGAACGGGUGAGUAACACGUGGGUGACCUGCCCUCAGCUCUGGGAUAAGCCUGGGAAACCGGGUCUAAUACUGGAUAUGACUCCAUGACGCAUGUUGUGGGGUGGAAAGCCUUGUGCGGCUGAGGAUGGGCCCGCGGCCUAUCAGGCUUGUUGGUGGGGUGANGGCCCUACCAAGGCGACGACGGGUAGCCGGCCUGAGAGGGCGACCGGCCACACUGGGACUGAGACACGGCCCAGACUCCUACGGGAGGCAGCAGUGGGGAAUCUUGCGCAAUGGGCGAAAGCCUGACGCAGCGACGCCGCGUGAGGGAUGACGGCCUGG